UUCGCUCACACUCCUCUCCUGCCUACCUGGUUGCCUGCCUCAUGACAAAGCAAACACACAUUUUCAUGGACAACAAGAUUUUAGAAUAUUCGCAUGAACAUCGGUUGCCAAUUGGAUGGAAACCUAGCUACUGAAUAAAUGUGUUUGGCACAAGAUAAAGAAGAUGAAACAAUCUACUGCUGCAACCCAAGGCCAACGGAUACUGAAGUUCCUGAAAAGGCAAUCAGUUCCUACAGUGAGCGCCUGGGAACCAGCCUCUGAUAUGUCAGAUGGAGACCAGGACAACACAAAGUUAAAUUUACACAUAAAAACUUUUUUACAAAGUUUACUGGGUAUAGUGUUAAAUGUAACCUUGCCUUGUUACAAAGUCUACAGUGUAUAGUGUUACAUGUAACCUUGCCUUGUUACAAAGUUUACUGGGUAUAGUGUUAAAUGUAACCUUGCCUUGUUACAAAGUCUACAGUGUAUAGUGUUACAUGUAACCUUGCCUUGUUACAAAGUCUACUUUGUAUAGUGUUACAUGUAUCCUUGCCUUGUUCCAAAGUCUACUUUGUACAGUGUUAAAUGUAACCCUGCCUUGUUACAAAGUCUACUUUGUAUAGUGUUACAUGUAACCCUGCAUUGUUCCAAAGUCUACUUUGUACAGUGUUAAAUGUAACCCUGCCUUGUUACAAAGUCUACUGUGUAUAGUGUUAAAUGUAACCCUGCCUUACAUAAAGCUUACAGAAUUAAUAAUUGCAGAAGAGCACUGUGAUGUGAGGAACAAAUAAUAGGUUUUAUGAAAAAACAAAAAUACUUUUCAACAUUGAAACCUGUCUUGAAACCUGUCUGUCUGUCUUGUUUAUCAAGUCAACUGCUUAACAUUGUGUGUAUAGAGUGAAAUUAAUAUUUAAAGACAUUGUAACCAUUCUUUGGCAUAAUGCUCAGCCCUGCUAUAGUAGUUCACUAAACUACAGAGUAUGUUGUCCAUUGAAGUUGUCUGUAGCUCUUUUGAUAUCAGAUUCAGAAGGAAUAAUAACAAGGUUUGUGAUGGUUUGAUCCACCUUAGGCCAGGAGUGUUUCCAAUUCACAUGACCUGAUGAAAAGGGAAGCUAUCGAAAAUAAUAAUAUUUUGUCAUAGCCUACGAAUAGGACGCAAAGUUUUACCUGACCAGGUCAUGAGGAAAAACUCCAGGCCCCUACCAGCUUUCUUAAAAUCAA